rnacentral:rRNA from 1 species
CCUACGGGUGGCAGCAGUGGGGAAUAUUGCUCAAUGGCGGAGAGCCUGAACCAGCCACGCCGCGUGGAGGAUGACGGUUCUCCGGUUGUUAAAUCUUUUUGUUCGAGGAGCUAAUGGCGCUAUGUAACGCAUAAGCACCGGCUACCUCCGUUCAAGGAGCGGUGGUACUGCGGCGGGUGCAAGCGUUAUUCGGAAUCACUGGGCGUAAAGGGCGUGUAGGCGGGAUAGCAAGUCAGAGGUGAAAUCCUAUGGUCUAACCAUAGAACUGCAGUUGAAACUGUGAUGCUAGAGUAUGGGAGAGGUAGGUGGAAUUCUUGGUGUAGGGGUAAAAUCCGUAGAGAUUAAGAGGAAUACUCAUUGCGAAGGCGACCUGCUAGAACAUAACUGACGCUGAGGCUCGAAAGCGUGGGGAGCAAACAGGAUUAGAUACCCGGGUAGUC